rnacentral:rRNA from 1 species
AGUCAAGUAAUUAAGUGCAUGUGGUGGAUGCCUUGGCAGUCAGAGGCGAUGAAAGACGUGAUAGCCUGCGAAAAGCUCCGGGGAGGCGGCAAAUAUCCUUUGAUCCGGAGAUGUCUGAAUGGGGGAACCCACCUACUUUAAGGUAGGUAUUGCAACAUGAAUACAUAGUGUUGCAAGGCGAACGAGGGGAAGUGAAACAUCUCAGUACCCUUAGGAAAAGAAAUCAAUUGAGAUUCCCUCAGUAGCGGCGAGCGAACGGGGAUCAGCCCAUUAAGUUAUGUGUGUUUUAGUGGAACGCUCUGGGAAGUGCGAACGUAGAGGGUGAUAUUCCCGUACACGAAAGGGCACACAUAAUGAUGACGAGUAGGGCGAGGCACGUGAAACCUUGUCUGAAUAUGGGGGGACCAUCCUCCAAGGCUAAAUACUCCUGACUGACCGAUAGUGAACCAGUACCGUGAGGGAAAGGCGAAAAGAACCCCUGUGAGGGGAGUGAAAUAGAUCCUGAAACCGCAUGCAUACAAGCAGUGGGAGCACCUUCGUGGUGUGACUGCGUACCUUUUGUAUAAUGGGUCAGCGACUUAUAUUCAGUAGCGAGGUUAACCGUAUAGGGGAGCCGUAGAGAAAUCGAGUCUUAAUAGGGCGUUUAGUUGCUGGGUAUAGACCCGAAACCAGGCGAUCUAUCCAUGAGCAGGUUGAAGGUUGGGUAACACUAACUGGAGGACCGAACCCACUGUCGUUGAAAAGCCAGGGGAUGACUUGUGGAUAGGGGUGAAAGGCUAAUCAAGCCUGGUGAUAGCUGGUUCUCCCCGAAAGCUAUUUAGGUAGCGCCUCGGACGAAUACCAUAGGGGGUAGAGCACUGUUUCGGCUAGGGGGUCAUCCCGACUUACCAAACCGAUGCAAACUCCGAAUACCUAUGAGUACUAUCCGGGAGACAGACUGCGGGUGCUAACGUCCGUAGUCAAGAGGAAAACAAUCCAGACCGCCAGCUAAGGCCCCAAAAUCAUAGUUAAGUGGGAAACGAUGUGGGAAGGCAUAGACAGCUAGGAGGUUGGCUUAGAAGCAGCCACCCUUUAAAGAAAGCGUAAUAGCUCACUAGUCGAGUCGGCCUGCGCGGAAGAUGUAACGGGGCUAAAACUAUGUGCCGAAGCUGCGGAUGUAUACUUUGUAUACGUGGUAGGGGAGCGUUCUGUAAGCCGAUGAAGGUGUGUUGAGAAGCAUGCUGGAGGUAUCAGAAGUGCGAAUGCUGACGUGAGUAACGACAAAACGGGUGAAAAACCCGUUCGCCGAAAGACCAAGGGUUCCAGUCCAACGUUAAUCGGGGCUGGGUGAGUCGACCCCUAAGGCGAGGCCGAAAGGCGUAGUCGAUGGGAAAAUGGUUAAUAUUCCAUUACUUCUGUGUAAUGCGAUGAGAGGACGGAGAAGGCUAAAUCAGCCUGGCGUUGGUUUCCAGGUGAAAGGAUGUAGGCAUGUAUCUUAGGCAAAUCCGGGGUACUCUAUGCUGAGAUCUGAUAGCAAGCUGUACUUGUACAGCGAAGUGGUUGAUGCCAUGCUUCCAGGAAAAGUCUCUAAGCUUCAGUUACACAGGAAUCGUACCCGAAACCGACACAGGUGGUCAGGUCGAGUAGACCAAGGCGCUUGAGAGAACUCUGCUGAAGGAACUAGGCAAAAUGGUACCGUAACUUCGGGAGAAGGUACGCUGUUGUUGGUGAUGGAACUCGCUUCCUGAGCUGACGACAGCCGCAGAAACCAGGCCGCUGCAACUGUUUAUUAAAAACAUAGCACUCUGCAAACACGAAAGUGGACGUAUAGGGUGUGAUGCCUGCCCGGUGCUGGAAGGUUAAUUGAUGGGGUUAGCGUAAGCGAAGCUCUUGAUCGAAGCCCCAGUAAACGGCGGCCGUAACUAUAACGGUCCUAAGGUAGCGAAAUUCCUUGUCGGGUAAGUUCCGACCUGCACGAAUGGCAUAAUGAUGGCGGCGCUGUCUCCAGCAGAGGCUCAGUGAAAUCGAAAUCGCUGUGAAGAUGCAGUGUACCCGCGGCUAGACGGAAAGACCCCGUGAACCUUUACUGCAGCUUGACACUGAACUUUGACCUUACUUGUGUAGGAUAGGUGGGAGGCUUUGAAGCUGGAACGCUAGUUCCAGUGGAGCCGUCCUUGAAAUACCACCCUGGUAAUGUUGAGGUUCUAACUCUGUCCCGUGAUCCGGGACGAGGACCGUGUCUGGUGGGUAGUUUGACUGGGGCGGUCUCCUCCUAAAGAGUAACGGAGGAGUACGAAGGUGCGCUCAGCGUGGUCGGAAAUCACGCGUAGAGUAUAAAGGCAAAAGCGCGCUUAACUGCGAGACCCACAAGUCGAGCAGGUACGAAAGUAGGUCUUAGUGAUCCGGUGGUUCUGUAUGGAAGGGCCAUCGCUCAACGGAUAAAAGGUACUCUGGGGAUAACAGGCUGAUACCGCCCAAGAGUUCAUAUCGACGGCGGUGUUUGGCACCUCGAUGUCGGCUCAUCUCAUCCUGGGGCUGAAGCAGGUCCCAAGGGUAUGGCUGUUCGCCAUUUAAAGAGGUACGCGAGCUGGGUUUAGAACGUCGUGAGACAGUUCGGUCCCUAUCUACCGUGGGCGCUGGAAAUUUGAGAGGAUCUGCUCCUAGUACGAGAGGACCAGAGUGGACGAACCUCUGGUGUACCGGUUGUGACGCCAGUCGCAUCGCCGGGUAGCUAUGUUCGGAAGGGAUAACCGCUGAAAGCAUCUAAGCGGGAAGCCUACCUCAAGAUAAGAUUUCCCUAGGACUUUAUGUCCUCUAAAGAGCCGUUCGAGACUAGGACGUUGAUAGGUUGGAUGUGGAAGCAUAGUGAUAUGUGAAGCUGACCAAUACUAAUUGCUCGUGAGGCUUGACUAU